rnacentral:siRNA from 1 species
ACCGCACCGCACUUCUCUCGUAC